GAGCGAUCUGGACUUGGGGAAACUCAGGAGGGGAUGCUGUGGGACUGGGACUGAGACUGGUGCAGAGUGAAGGACUGCUUAUUCAGUCCAUGUAGGAGAGUGUGGGACAGAGGUUUUGGCCUUUA